AUGAAGAACGCAGCAAAAUGCGAUAAGUAAUGUGAAUUGCAGAAUUCAGUGAAUCAUCGAAUCUUUGAACGCACAUUGCGCCCGCCAGUAUUCUGGCGGGCAUGCCUGUUCGAGCGUCAUUUCAACCCUCAAGCCCCCGGGUUUGGUGUUGGGGAUCGGGCUGUACUCCAGCCCGGCCCCGAAAUCUAGUGGCGGUCUCGCUGCAGCCUCCAUUGCGUAGUAGCUAACACCUCGCAACUGGAACGCGGCGCGGCCAAGCCGUUAAACCCCCAACUUCUGAAUGUUGACCUCGGAUCAGGUAGGAAUACCCGCUGAACUUAAGCAUAUCAAUAAGCGGAGGA
rnacentral:misc_RNA from 1 species